rnacentral:lncRNA from 1 species
UUUUCCAACAAUGCUUUGUAAUUUUCUCCAAAGGUCUUCCACAUUUUUUGUUAGAUUCAUGUCUACAUAUGCUACAGUUUCUUUUGUGAAUGAAAUAAUUUCAAUUAAAUUUUUAUUGAUGUAGGAAAAUAUUAAUUAUUUUAUAUUGACCUAAUUCAUAGCCAGCAACUUUAUAACUUUCUUUUUUAUAGAAGUAAAUGACUUCUGAUGCUAACUACCUGGAUUUUUGGAUAGAUCGGGAAGCCAUUAUCCUCAGCAAACUAACACAG